CCCAGGACCCAUGAGAGGAGAAAAGCUGAAGUGCCCCUCGAGUCCUCCACUUUCAGGGAGUUUGCCAACCACUCAUUGGUGUGUAUUUCUGCCUGUAACUCUGUCCCUCAGAUGCUUAACUGCCCUCCCUGGCCAACGUCCAGACGGAUCCCUGUGGCAAUGGUGCUCAUCAGAUCUUGAAGUGAUUCAGGUUCUCUAUUUUUAUGCCACAGCUGCUGUAACUGCUCAGUAAUGCUUCAGCCAUGAGCUUCUACACAGUCUCCUCUACGUGAGCAAACACUCUUGGAAACUAUUUCUGGUUACCUUUCACUUUUAAUGGAAAGACUGAGUGUGCUUCAACAAAUGUGAAGUAUUUGUGGAAACAAAUGUGACUUCUACCUUCUAAGGUGACUUCCACCUUCUAAGGACAGCAUUGGCAUCCCUCCUGCCAGAGACAGGAUUUGCUCUACAUGAUCAAAAAUGCAGAUAUUACUCAUUUCAAAACAGGCAAAAGGGAAAUAAAGUUAGGAAAGAAACAAGGAAUGAAAAAGUGAUUGUCCUUGACCUGUUGCCAAAGUCUGUUGUCCACUGGCUAUCCAUG